CUAUGAUUUCAUUAAGUAAUGAAUGGUUUUCAAGAUGUUUAAUGUCUUUCAACAAAUGAGUAAUCUAUUGGAAGAUAUCAAAAUAGAUCUUCAAGAGGUUUGAUUUCUUUCAACAGAUGACCUAUCUAUUGCAACUCUAUUGAAGAACUCAAUCCAUUAGCAAGAACUAUUUUUAUUUCUUCUAACAGAUGUGUCACCUAUUG
rnacentral:lncRNA from 1 species